ACGUAUAGCAGACCAAACAAACUGGUCAGCAUCAAUCCAUAUUGAAUUCCCUCUCUUAAUAUUUCGAAGAUUAGCGCCCUUAACCCAUUCUGCAUCAGGAUAAAGCAAAAGAUACAGUGUCUUCUCAUUCUUCAACUGCUUACUUACACCAAAGUAGUUCAAACAGAAUUCACUGUAAGAAUCUUCUUUCGUAUCCUGUAUAGAACUCAAAAUGUUCUCAAUCUCUUCUUUCCAAAAGUUCCAGUAGUAAACUAUACCUCCAACAGAAGUUUUCUCCCUGGAUUUCUUGUUUUGUGUAUAUUUUAUUAGAUCCUCAACCAAAUAGACCUCAUUCUCAUGCUGUGGUGUACCUUGAUAUAGGUAAGCAUCGAGAAUUUUUCGUGCACCUAAAAUUUUACCUC
rnacentral:misc_RNA from 1 species